rnacentral:misc_RNA from 1 species
CAAUUUUGGUAUACUGAGGUGCCUUUUGGCGCUUCGGUGUCACCAAUUGAGAUACCAACCCAUGUCUUUUGAGCACCUCUUGUUUCCUCGGCAGGCUCGCCUGCCAAUGGGGACCACUUUAAAACCUUUUAUGUAUGCAGUAAACGUCUAAAAACAAAUGAAAUUA